GAUGAACGCUGGCGGCGUGCCUAAUACAUGCAAGUCGAGCGAACGGACGAGAAGCUUGCUUCUCUGAUGUUAGCGGCGGACGGGUGAGUAACACGUGUAUAACCCACCUAUAAGACUGGGAUAACUUCGGGAAACCGUAGCUAAUACCGGAUAAUAUUUUGAACCGCAUGGUUCAAAAGUGAAAGACGGUCUUGCUGUCACUUAUAGAUGGAUCCGCGCUGCAUUAGCUAGUUGGUAAGGUAACGGCUUACCAAGGCGACGAUGCAUAGACGACCUGAGAGGGUGAUCGGCCACACUGGAACUGAGACACGGUCCAGACUCCUACGGGAGGCAGCAGUAGGGAAUCUUCCGCAAUGGGCGGAAGCCUGACGGAGCAACGCCGCGUGAGUGAUGAAGGUCUUCGGAUCGUAAAACUCUGUUAUUAGGGAAGAACAGAUGUGUAAGUAACUGUGCACAUCGUGACGGUACCUAAUCAGAAAGCCACGGCUAACUACGUG
rnacentral:rRNA from 1 species